rnacentral:rRNA from 1 species
CAGUAGCCGCGGUAAUACGAAGGGUGCAAGCGUUAAUCGGAAUUACUGGGCGUAAAGCGUGCGUAGGCGGUGAGUUAAGUCUGCUGUGAAAUCCCCGGGCUCAACCUGGGAAUGGCAGUGGAUACUGGCUCGCUAGAGUGUGUCAGAGGAUGGUGGAAUUCCCGGUGUAGCGGUGAAAUGCGUAGAGAUCGGGAGGAACAUCAGUGGCGAAGGCGGCCAUCUGGGACAACACUGACGCUGAGGCACGAAAGCGUGGGGAGCAAACAGGAUUAGAUACCCGUGUAGUCCCUGUCUCUUAUAA